rnacentral:rRNA from 2 species
CCUGCAGGAAAGGACAUCAACCGAGACUCCGCAAGUAGUGGCGAGCGAACGCGGACCAGGCCAGUGGCAAUGAGGAAUAAAGCGGAAUGAUCUGGAAAGGUCGGCCGUAGUGGGUGACAGCCCCGUACGCGUAGAACACUCAUUGUCCUUGAGUAAGGCGGGACACGUGAAAUCCUGUCUGAACAUGGGGAGACCACUCUCCAAGCCUAAGUACUCGUGCAUGACCGAUAGCGAACAAGUACCGUGAGGGAAAGGUGAAAAGCACCCCGACGAGGGGAGUGAAAUAGUACCUGAAACCGGAUGCCUACAAACAGUUGGAGCUCGCAAGAGUGACAGCGUACCUUUUGUAUAAUGGGUCAACGACUUAGUGUAACUAGCAAGCUUAAGCCGGUAGGUGUAGGCGCAGCGAAAGCGAGUCUGAACAGGGCGCUUUAGUUAGUUGCAUUAGACCCGAAACCGAGUGAUCUAGCCAUGAGCAGGCUGAAGGUUGGGUAACACCAACUGGAGGGCCGAACCCGCAUCUGUUGCAAUAGAUUGGGAUGACUUGUGGCUAGGGGUGAAAGGCCAAUCAAACUCGGAAAUAGCUGGUUCUCCGCGAAAUCUAUUUAGGUAGAGCGUCGAGCGAAUACCCACGGGGGUAGAGCACUGGAUGGGCUAUGGGGACUCACCGUCUUACUGAUCCUAACCAAACUCCGAAUACCGUGGAGUACUACUCGGCAGACACACGGCGGGUGCUAACGUCCGUCGUGAAGAGGGCAACAACCCUGACCUCCAGCUAAGGUCCCCAAGUCAUGGCUAAGUGGGAAAGGAUGUGAGGAUCCCAAAACAACCAGGAUGUUGGCUUAGAAGCAGCCAUCAUUUAAAGAAAGCGUAACAGCUCACUGGUCUAAAUAAGGGUCUUUGCGCCGAAAAUGUAACGGGGCUGAAGCCAUGCACCGAAGCUGAGGAUGUGUGCUUGCACACGUGGUAGCGGAGCGUUCCGUAAGCCCGUGAAGGGAUACCUGUGAGGGGUCCUGGAGGUAUCGGAAGUGCGAAUGUUGACAUGAGUAACGAUAAAGGGAGUGAGAGACUCCCUCGCCGAAAGACCAAGGGUUCCUGCUUAAAGUUAAUCUGAGCAGGGUUAGCCGGCCCCUAAGACGAGGCGGACACGCGUAGUCGAUGGGAACCACGUUAAUAUUCGUGGGCCUGGUGGUAGUGACGGAUCGGGAAAAUUGUAACACCUUAUUGGAUUGGUGUUGCAGUGAGCCGGUUCCAGGAAAUAGCUCCACCGUAUAGACCGUACCCGAAACCGACACAGGUGGUCAGGUAGAGUAUACCAAGGCGCUUGAGAGAACUGCGUUGAAGGAACUCGGCAAAUUGCACGCGUAACUUCGGAAGAAGCGUGACCCCAUGCUACGCAAGUAUUGUGGGGUGGCACAGACCAGGGGGUAGCGACUGUUUAUCAAAAACACAGGGCUCUGCGAAGUCCAUAAGACGACGUAUAGGGUCUGACGCCUGCCCGGUGCUGGAAGGUUAAGAGGAGAGGUGCAAGCUUUGAAUCGAAGCCCCAGUAAACGGCGGCCGUAACUAUAACGGUCCUAAGGUAGCGAAAUUCCUUGUCGGGUAAGUUCCGACCUGCACGAAUGGCGUAACGACUUCCCCGCUGUCUCCAACGCAGACUCAGUGAAAUUGAAUUCCCCGUGAAGAUGCGGGGUUCCUGCGGUCAGACGGAAAGACCCCGUGCACCUUUACUAUAGCUUUACACUGGCAUUCGUGUCGGCAUGUGUAGGAUAGGUGGUAGGCUUUGAAGCAGGGACGCCAGUUUCUGUGGAGCCAUCCUUGAAAUACCACCCUUAUCGUCAUGGAUGUCUAACCGCGGUCCGUUAUCCGGAUCCGGGACAGUGUAU